UGUGUUAACUAGAUCACUUAAUGCAUGGUUCUAGAGUAAUUAACUAGAUCCUGAACUUAGGACAUGGGAAACUGCGAGAGUAGAUUCUUUGCGUGAUAAUAUUCUGAUUAAGUUAAGUUUUUUAGAAACAUGCUGAUCUAACAUUCUUUAUGGUAAUCAACUCGCCACAACCAUCGAUCGACAUCGUCAGUCGAGCGUCGAUCGACAUCGACACUGGAUCGUCGAUUGAUAGUGUUAUAAAGUGAGCGGUUGAGUCCUAGUGUAUCAGCUCGCCUAAACAUCCUAUCUUAUAGAUUCGAUCCCUAAGUACUACGAUUGAACCUCUUGUUUGAGAGAGUAAAGUCACUCCUUAGGAUGAUCUGAGUGAUAUCAAUAAGAUAAAUAAGAUGGAAUGGUUAAUAAAUCUUGAGACGGUCGAGAUUGUAUCAUAUUACAGAUAUUAACACGUUCAAAACUUGUGUUAUUAUCAAUAUAUUACCACAAUAAGGUUCCAAAUGGGGAUGAUUGUGAAUAAAUAUUAAUUUUUUGAAAAUAUGUAACUCUAAAUUAUUACAUUAAAGAUUGCAAGAUUUUUUUAGUAAUAUAAUUUUUAAUGUCAAUUAGUAUAUGUUUGGUAUCUUACUUUUGUUUUAUAUUAAACAAUUAUCUAUUAUUUUAUUUUGAAAACUUGGUGUGAACAUAUUUACAUUUCAUAUGUUAUUGUGAAAUUUGUCUUGUCUGUGUUUGCUAUUAUAAGAGAAAAUCAUAAUAUAUAUUUUUACGAAAGAUUGGAAUAACCAUAAGAAUAUAUUAUAAUAAAUAUAUUGGACAUUAUUUUCUUGAUAUAUUACAAAAGUAAUAAUUAAUUAAAAAUUAAAUUUAUAAAAUGAAAUAAAUUUCUGACAAAAAACUGAUAAUUAAAGUUCAUAACUAGUUGUUAUCUAGCCAUGAAGGCAUUUAAUGUAAACACACAAAUUUACAAAACAAUUAAUAUAAAUAACUGAAUAAAGUAAAUAUAUUUUACCUGAAUUAUAUAGACUAAGAUUAUUCAAAACAUUUAGUCCAUGAUAACAAUUUUAAUUUAUAUCUAUUACAUUUUGAAAAAUCUGUUUCAAUAUACAAAUUAUAUCUUGAGAAGGCAAUCUGAAAGAAAAUAAAACUUUCACACUAAUAUUCAUAUGCUUAGGUAAAUGAAUCAUGCACUUUUAUAUUAUUUUGACUAUAAUCUCAGAAAAUCAUUGAAAGAUUUUCUUUACAAAAAUAUAACUAAUGCGAGUUUAUGUUUAUAUGUAGAUUGAUAUGCUUAGGUAAAUGAAUCAUGCACUUUUAUAUUAUUUUAAUUAUAAUCUCAGAAAAUUAAUUGAAAGAUUUUAUUUACAAAAAUAUAACUAAUGCAAGUUUAUGUUUAUAUUCUGAAGUAAAUGAAUCAUGCACUUUUAUAUCGUUUUGACUACAAUCUCAGAAAAUUAAUUGAAAGAUUUUCUUUACAAAAAUAUAAUUAAUGCAAGUUUAUGUUUAUAUGCUUAGGAAAAUGAAUCAUGCACUUUUAUAUUAUUUUGACUAUAAUCUCAGAAAAUUAAUUGAAAGAUUUUCUUUAGAAAAAUAUAAUUAACACAAGUUUAUGUUUUUUAUGUAGAUUGAUAUGCUUAGGUAAAUGAAUCAUGCACUUUUAUAUUAUUUUUACUAUAAUCUCAGAAAAAUAAUUGAAAGAUUUUCUUACAAAAUAUAAAUAAUGCAAGUUUAUGUUUAUAUGCUUAAGUAAAUAAAUCACGCAUUUUUAUAUUAUUUUGACUAUAAUCUCAGAAAAUUAAUUGAAAGAUUUUCCUUACAAAAAUAUAAUUAAUGCAAGUUUAUGUUUAUAUGCUUAGGUAAAUGAAUCAUGCACUUUUAUCUUAUUUUGACUAUAAUCUCAGAAAAUUAAUAGAAAGAUUUUCUUUACAAAAAUAUAAUUAAUGUAAGUUUAUGUUUAUAUGUAUAUAUAUAUAUAUCAAUCUAAAAUAUAAUAGAACUCUCAAACAAUUUAUAAAACAUCCUACAAAAUGAGUAUCUCCAAAAAAUGUAUAUUAAUCGCAUUUGUUUUCACUCUUUUUUUCACGAUGUCAAUUGUUCGCUGCACCAAUAUUGUUUCAGAUUUCGGAGUAAAAAAAGCGUAUAAUCUAUGCUAUGGUCCAUGUGACGACAAAGGAGUGUGUACGCCGUUUUGUUAUACCAAAAAGGGUCCGAUAAGGGGAG